UACGGAGGGUCCAGGCGUUAUCCGGAAUCAUUGGGUUUAAAGGGUCCGUAGGCGGUUUUGUAAGUCAGUGGUGAAAGCCCAUCGCUCAACGGUGGAACGGCCAUUGAUACUGCAAGACUUGAAUUAUUAGGAAGUAACUAGAAUAUGUAGUGUAGCGGUGAAAUGCUUAGAGAUUACAUGGAAUACCAAUUGCGAAGGCAGGUUACUACUAAUGGAUUGACGCUGAUGGACGAAAGCGUGGGGAGCGAACAGG
rnacentral:rRNA from 1 species